ensembl:lncRNA
GGGUAGGCUGGCAAACCUGUGGCUGUGCAGACAGGAGGUUGCUCUUUUAAUUGGAAGUUGUUCUUUUUACUGGGAAGUAGAAGUAGAGGCUACGACAGCUGAAGGGGGUUGGGUGAAAUGAAUAGAGAACCAUAAAACAAUGACAAGUUUUUUGAGGAGUGCUGGGACCUGACCAAAGGCCCUAAAAGACAGCGAAUGGCUUCAGUGGAUGGUGAGCACGCUAUGCUCUUCCAUAAGACUGGCCCCUGCAAGUGAUUUGCCUGAUGUUUAAAGGCCUUAUUUUUCACUCUAUUCCCUUGUUGUAUAGGCCAACUGCUCUGAUUUAGGUGCAAGGAUGGAGAAAGAGCAAACUACAAAGUUCCCGUACUGAUUUCAGCAUGAACGCUUUCAGACAGCUCCGAGUCUAGAGCCACUUCUGUGACUUUUUAGUAAUAAAAAUAUAAACAUUGAUUUAACAGCCAGGAGAACUGAGGUCAGGAGGCUCAGGUCUUGGGACAGUGUUUACAGAUCUCUGCUUACUUUUUGUUAAGGGACUGUGGACAGGAACGAGUUCCUACCAUGUCUUGCCUCUUUUGUUCAUCUCCAGGUCCCGGUUUGGCGAGGUCCUACACCCCUUGCUGAAGAGGCCAGGCAGCUCUUUGGAUUACAUCUUCAACUGGGACAUCCCUGAGCUGUGCCAGAGUCAAAAUGCCCAAGUGCUUCUAUCGAAAAGCAAAACUGAUUUUCCAGCACUCCACGUGUCAGACUGAAUGACAAGACCUUCUUGGAUCGAUCUGCAUUUCUACUGUCAAAACUUGGUCAUUUUUCUGAAGAAAAAACAGCAGCCUGCAUUUCAGCAGAUUUCCACAUAGACAGCAAUUCCACUCAGCUAAUAAUUGCAGCAUCAUUGUUUUGUGGUACAAUACCUUUGCUGAAUAACGUUAAAUACUUGAUUGUACUUCUGUUACGACUGUGGGAGUCGUUGCAAGCUGGUGUGGUUUUAUUUCGUUUGUUCGUUUUCGCUUAGCCAGACUUUGGCUGCAAGAAAUGUUUUACUUCUCCUCUGUCUGCAGCAGCAUUUUGCCUGCAUGUUGUACAAAUUUGGCUGCCAAUGGUUUCUAAAGACAUUUCUUGAGAUGGGCACUGCAUUUUCUGGUAUUCCAAUGUCAUUGAAUUUUGUAUAUGCUGUUUUUAUAGGCCCGUUGUUUAUUAUGCAACAUGUUUGAACAGUCAUACUGGUCAUUUCCUUGAACAAAACUGAAUGUAUAUGAAAUAUUGCUCAGUGAACAAAUAAAUUAUUGGGGGGGAACGUGCACUUUGUGACAUGUGAGCCACAGGUUUGUUUGCCUGGUUUUGUUUCUUAUAUUUAAAUAUUUGUACAUGACCUUUCCCUUACCACACAUCCCUCAAGUAGAGGAUCAGGUGGGUGAAGCAGAGUCCUCCUGAUUCUGUUGAUCUCAGUGGUUUUAGUGGGAGUGAGGCACAGGGAAAAUAAAGGAAUCACACUUGUUAUUUCUUCUAUAAAAAGUUAGAGUUCCCAAAACAAUUUGAAAGGAGACUGGUCCUUACCAUGCUCGUUCAGUUUGCUUAUAGUAAAACAUCAGGUCCCAGAUGAAAUCCAGUCCGUUUUGCUGUAUCCCUUAUAAACAAACACUAAGAGAACGAUCUCUGUCAACCCAAGAAUGUAAAUCCUCUUUGGGAAAGACAGUGCUGAAUGACUAUUUUCCAUGAUUUAUAAAGGGAAAACAGAGAAGGAAAGAGAUUUCCAAAACAGCUGAUGCACUAGGAACUUUGAGAGCCCUGCCUGCAGUUGUCACUGGUGAAACCCUUGAAAAUUUCACCCUAGGUCUCAGGGAAACUAAGGAGAAAAACUGCAAGAGAUAAAAACAACAAGAAUCGCUCCCCUGCCUCUUUUACAGACCUGUUCUUCCUCUGACAUAGAACAAGCAUUUGCCCUGUAUUACUUUGUAUUGUAGGAGAGCCUCAGCUUCACUGAGGACCAAAUUUUAGCCCUUGAAUGAUGCAGACAUUGCUCUACAGAGCUCCCAUUUACAUUUAAGGAUGGACAUGAAAAUAUCGCAGCUAUAAGUAACAACUUACAGUGUCAGAAUGCUUUCAUGAUCGGUACCUUUACUGCUGGAUAAGAGAAGUUAUUUUUAGUCAAUGGUAGGAAAAUUUUGUAGGAAAUGAGUAUAUUUUUGUACAUAUAAAAUAAAUUCAGAUAAGACUAUGUAGGACUACAUCAAUCUUUCUUAGUGAAGUGGUUGCAGCUCCUCCUCUGUAACAGAACACGUGCCCAAACCUGCCAGGUGAGGACAGGAAGGAAUUACUUUUUCCUGACAUACUGGAUGAUAGUUAUUUUCCUAACUUGGUCAUGAUUUGCUGACCUUCGGCACGUCUGAGCACUUGCACUGUGUUUAAAUUCCCCUCUGUGCAAUGGAUGUGACAUAUCCCAACUGUCCCAGGAAUGCUGAGCCUCAUAAAAUACCAUCAAUGAUUUUGAAAAGCUGACAUAUGUCAGGAAAAAAAUAAAACCUGUUGGUGCACUUGUUUCCUUUCUUUACAGCUACAUGAGUUAGGCAAAUGCUGCCAGUGCUUUUUCUGGGAUAAACUUCCUACCUCUUUCCGGUUCCUCGGAUAUCCGGAUUCUCAGCAGCUUCUGUCCGCUCAGCUCCAUCAAUAAACUGCCCUCAUUGCAUCCUUUUUCAUAAAGGCCAAAAUCCCUUGGUAGGACAGCGCUAAUGGCACGGUGAGAAAGAGCCACGAGGCUGCUACUUCCACCUGUCCUCAGUGCGAAGGGAAAAGGCACAGCUUUCACUCAAAUCCUGACCACGGGCCAGCACAGCCACUUCACUGCCAGGAAAUUCGGCUCAAGGCCCUUUCUGAAACUACUACCGACUUUAAGUUUUAAAUUAUGUUAAGGCAAAAUGCAUGAAAUAGAUUAAGUUAAACUAUACUUAAUGUAUAUUCAGUCUGAAUGCUUUAAU